rnacentral:rRNA from 1 species
AGAGUUUGAUCAUGGCUCAGAUUGAACGCUGGCGGUAUGCUUUACACAUGCAAGUCGAACGGCAGCACGGGGCAACCUGGUGGCGAGUGGCGAACGGGUGAGUAAUAUAUCGGAACAUGUCCGGAAGUGGGGGAUAGCUCGGCGAAAGCCGGAUUAAUACCGCAUAUGCCCUGAGGGGGAAAGGGGGGGAUCGCAAGACCUCUCGCUUUCGGAGUGGCCGAUAUCGGAUUAGCUAGAUGGUGAGGUAAAGGCUUACCAUGGCGACGAUCCGUAGCUGGUCUGAGAGGACGACCAGCCACACUGGAACUGAGACACGGUCCAGACUCCUACGGGAGGCAGCAGUGGGGAAUUUUGGACAAUGGGGGAAACCCUGAUCCAGCCAUACCGCGUGAGUGAAGAAGGCCUUCGGGUUGUAAAGCUCUUUCAGCCGGAAAGAAAUCGUGCAGAUUAAUACUCUGUAUGGAUGACGGUACCGGAAGAAGAAGCACCGGCUAACUACGUGCCAGCAGCCGCGGUAAUACGUAGGGUGCGAGCGUUAAUCGGAAUUACUGGGCGUAAAGCGUGCCCAGGCGGUUUUGUAAGACAGGUGUGAAAUCCCCGGGCUUAACCUGGGAACUGCAUUUGUGACUGCAAGGCUAGAGUACGGCAGAGGGGGGUAGAAUUCCACGUGUAGCAGUGAAAUGCGUAGAUAUGUGGAGGAAUACCGAUGGCGAAGGC